GACAGAGGGGGCAAGCGUUGCUCGGAAUUACUGGGCGUAAAGCGUGCGUAGGCGGUUCGUUAAGUCUGUUGUGAAAGCCCCGGGCUCAACCUGGGAAUGGCAAUGGAUACUGGCGAGCUAGAGUGUGUCAGAGGAUGGUGGAAUUCCCGGUGUAGCGGUGAAAUGCGUAGAGAUCGGGAGGAACAUCAGUGGCGAAGGCGGCCAUCUGGGACAACACUGACGCUGAGGCACGAAAGCGUGGGGAGCAAACAGG
rnacentral:rRNA from 1 species